rnacentral:tRNA from 1 species
UAGCUCAGUGGUAGGGUGCUUGUCUAGCAUGCAUGAGGCUCUGGGUUCAAUCCCCAG